rnacentral:misc_RNA from 1 species
GAACGCACCUUGCGCCCUUUGGCUAUUCCAAAGGGCAUGCCUGUUUGAGUAUCAUGAACACUUCAACUCUCAUGGUUUGCCAUGAUGAGCUUGGACUUUGGAGGUCUUGCCGGCCUGCAGUCGGCUCCUCUCAAACGAAUCAGCUUGCCAGUGUUUGGCGGCAUCACAGGUGUGAUAACUAUCUGCGCUUGUGGUUUCCCGCUAGAUAACCUUCAGCGAUGGAGGUUCGCUGGAGCUCAUAAAUGUCUCUCCUCAGCGAGGACAGCACUUUGACUGUUUGAUCUCAAAUCAGGUAGGACUACCCGCUGAACUUAAG